GUAGACAUAGUUUAAACAAAACAUUAGAUUGUGAUUCUAAAAACAGAGGUUGAAACCCUCUUGCCCACC
rnacentral:tRNA from 2 species